UAGGGCUCUGGUAAAAAGUAGUGCACUACCCCAUAGGGCUCUGGUAAAAAGUAGUGCACUACCCCAUAGGGCUCUGGUAAAAAGUAGUGCACUACCCCAUAGGGCUCUGGUAAAAAGUAGUGCACUACCCCAUAGGGCUCUGGUAAAAAGUAGUGCACUACCCCAUAGGGCUCUGGUAAAAAGUAGUGCACUACCCCAUAGGGCCCUGGUAAAAAGUAGUGCACUACCCCAUAGGGCUCUGGUAAAAAGUAGUGCACUACCCCAUAGGGCUCUGGUAAAAAGUAGUGCACUACCCCAUAGGGCUCUGGUAAAAAGUAGUGCACUACCCCAUAGGGCUCUGGUAAAAAGUAGUGCACUACCCCAUAGGGCUCUGGUAAAAAGUAGUGCACUACCCCAUAGGGCUCUGGUAAAAAGUAGUGCACUACCCCAUUAGGGCUCUGGUAAAAAGUAGUGCACUACCCCAUAGGGCCCUGGUAAAAAGUAGUGCACUACCCCAUAGGGCUCUGGUAAAAAGUAGUGCACUACCCCAUAGGGCUCUGGUAAAAAGUAGUGCACUACCCCAUAGGGCUCUGGUAAAAAGUAGUGCACUACCCCAUUAGGAAAAGAACAAACAAAGCAAGAAAAACCCCAUUAUUCAGCAGUCCAUCAAUCAGUUGGUGUGUGGAAGUGUGUGCUACGAUGUUGAAGCUAGGCUUGGCUCUCUCAUCCCUCCAGGGUUUUGGGAGGGAGGGUGGACAAUGAGCCUGUCAUAGCGGAUGUAAUCAAUGUCCCCACACUCUCUGGCAGCUUUCAUGGCUGGGAUCAGUUAUUUCCUCUUCUGGUGCACAGCUUCAGGAUAGUCCUCUUUGACUAAUUCUAAAAUUCUUGGGUCUUUCCAGAACAGUUACCUUGUACUUGAACCUCGGGAACUUGUCCACGAUCGAUCUGGGGCCUGUCACCUUGGUGGGAUUCCAGUCCCAUCUUCAGUUUUUCCCGAGAUAAUUUCCCUCACUUUGUCCUCAGACUCAAUCCAGGUCUCAAGUGAUUACCGUCCACAACAAUGUUGUGUUCCGCCUUGAUUGUCCCUUGAGAUAAUCGGAUUUCUCCGUCAUGGUUAUCAUGGAUUCACAUACAGAAAUGAUGUCCUCUCUCAAGUAGUUUGCUGUCAUCUUGCUGUUCUCCUGAUUGAAGUCUUUUGACCCUAGGAAACUGUAAAUCCACCAGUAUUUGGACAAAACACUUGAAGCUAUAUUCUUGAUGUUGUAACAACUGCUUGUAGAACUUGUUUGUUUGAUUUAAAGAUCCUUCACCUGUGAUAGAGAGACACGACUGUCCUCAACAGUACUCCCACCAGCUUUGGUCUUUGUUAUGGUAGCAAUGUAGGCAAUGCUGUCACCUCCGCAUUUCCAGACACAGCAAGUCGCAGGGCAGAUGGAAACAGCAACAAACAGCAGGGAUUCAAACAGUCAUACUCCUGGGACAAUCGGUGGUACUAGCCUCAAGGGCUGUGGGUUGAGUACAACCUGUUAAGGAAACCUGGCUAGCUUGAUAGCUAGCUAACGAGAGUUAGAAGCUAAGCUAGAAUUUGCACCAAUGAGGGAAAAAUUAGCUACUUCUCUGGAGCAAAAUUGACCUGAUAAUGUUGGGUUGGAGAUGGCGAUAAUGUCGGGUUGGAAUGGCUGAGAUGGCAAUAAUGUCAGGUUGGAAUGGCUGAGAUGGUAAUAAUGUCAGGUUGGAAUGGCUGAGAUGGUAAUAAUGUCAGGUUGGAAUGGCUGAGAUGGUAAUAAUGUCAGGUUGGAAUGGCUGAGAUGGUAAUAAUGUCAGGUUGGAAUGGCUGAGAUGGUAAUAAUGUCAGGUUGGAAUGGCUGAGAUGGUAAUAAUGUCAGGUUGGAAUGGCUGAGAUGGUAAUAAUGUCAGGUUGGAAUGGCUGAGAUGGCAAUAAUGUCAGGUUGGAAUGGCUGAGAUGGUAAUAAUGUCAGGUUGGAAUGGCUGAGAUGGUAAUAAUGUCAGGUUGGAAUGGCUGAGAUGGCAAUAAUGUCAGGUUGGAAUGGCUGAGAUGGUAAUAAUGUCAGGUUGGAAUGGCUGAGAUGGCGAUAAUGUCGGGUUGGAAUGGCUGAGAUGGUAAUAAUGUCAGGUUGGAAUGGCUGAGAUGGCGAUAAUGUCAGGUUGGAAUGGCUGAGAUGGUAAUAAUGUCAGGUUGGAAUGGCUGAGAUGGUAAUAAUGUCAGGUUGGAAUGGCUGAGAUGGUAAUAAUGUCAGGUUGGAAUGGCUGAGAUGGUAAUAAUGUCAGGUUGGAAUGGCUGAGAUGGUAAUAAUGUCAGGUUGGAACGGAACCCCUAUUAUUUCCAGUUUAAACUAAUGAUCUGCCAAAACUACAUUGAUUAAGGAGCAAUCCAAUUAUUAUGGGUGUUUUGGCAGGCGGCCUGCAGCACAAGAUUUCGCUUUACGCGGAUGAUGUCUUGCUCUACAUAUCCAACCCUGAGAAAUCCCUCCCAUUUUAGACACAAUUGCUCAGUAUGGCAAGUUUUCAGGUUAUAAGAUCAAUUUUAACAAAUCCACUGUCUGCCCUCUCAAUAUUACACUCACCAGCUCUAUGAAGACACUUUGUCCUUUCCAAUGGAAAACACAGGGGUUUCAAUACCUCGGGAUCUUCGUAUCACCAGAUCUGAAUAAUCUUUUCAAGGAAAAUGAUCUUCCACUCAUGGAUCGAAUCAAAAACGAUCUCCAAACCUGGAUCUCCCUCCCAAUUAGCUUAUUAGGAAGAAUUAAUGUCAUCCUUAUGAACGUCCUCCCUAGACUGAACUAUUUAUUUCAGAUACUCCCAUGCUAUUUCUUAGUUUCCUUUAUCAAAACAACUAACGAAAGAAUCACCAAAUUUACAUGGGGCAAUAAAACACCUAGGAUCAAGUUCUCCACUCUAUCGAAACCUGAAUCUAAGGGUGGUCUUGCCCUUCCCUCCCUUCAAUUGUACUACUGGUCUACCCAAAUCCGCAACAUGCUAAUAUGGAUCACAAACAGACAAGAGUCAACGUGGAUUCAGAUAGAAGCCCAAUCCUGUGGUUCAUUGCCCUUAAGCUCAAUUAUAUUCAUUAAUAACUUUAGUGAAGUGGGCAACAUAGCCGAAACCUUUGUGAUUUACAGCACCCUACUAGCGUGGAGGGACUGUAAGAAAUACCUGGGCAUUUCCUCCCAAAUAUGUUCUCACUCGCCUAUAGUAGGCAACCCAGACCUGCCAAAAGCUCUGAGGGAUGCCAACUUUAAUCUUUGGCAUACUCUAGGAAUCAGGACCUUUUCAGACCUAUUUCAUCAGAAAACCACUAUACUGAAAUCCUUUCAAGAGCUCUGCAGUGAAUUCAAUAUACCAAGAUCCCAUUUCUUUUAUAUCUUCACAUGUCUUCAUUUACUUCCAAGAGGAGGUUUACAACUCAGUUGAAUGAAGUUGAAACCCUUCUUGUCACAGCACAAUCCAUUAAAAGCUAAAUAUCUUAUAUCUAUAGAUUCCUUUCUGAGAAAGGAGGCUCCUCCUUUACUCCGUUGAAAAUAAUCUGGGAAAAGGACCUUGGUCUGACUUUAUUUAUUCAAAUUCUAUUUUACCUUUAUUUAACUAGGCAAGUCAGUUAAGAACAAAUUCUUAUUUUCAAUGAUGGCCUAGGAACAGUGGGUUAACUGCAUGUUCAGGAGCAGAACGACAGAGUUGUACCUUGUCAGCUCGGGGAUUUGAACUUGCAACCUUCCUCUUACUAGUCCAACGCUCUAACCAGUGAUGAGCUAUUGGUGGAGGUUUGCAACAGGGUAUACUGCACCUCUACUCAUGUAAAAAUGAAAGAAUCUAAUUACAAUUUUUGUACACAUUUUAUUACACUCCUUUGAGACUCCAUAGAAUGAAAACAGACAUGUCUCCUAACUGUAAAAGAUGUACCUCUGAAAGUGGAACCUAUAUGCAUGUAAUUUGGAGCUGUAGAGAGAUUGCCAGAUUCUAUACUGCUGCACAGAAAAUACUAGCUAUACAGUUUGAUAUGACCCUGUGUAUCUAUCUUCUUAAUGCCCAGCAGGACUUUGUUCUUGAUCCUGACAGAGAAAAUUUGCUCAUGACUAUUACAUACUUUGCUAAGAAAUGUAUUAUUCUAUUGUGGGACUCUAAUACCUCUCCUACAUUUAAAAUGUGGAUUGACCAGAUUGUUGACUUUCUCCCUCUUGAAAAGCUCACUUAUGACCUCCACAAGAGACAGCCCAAGUUUGAUAGACUCUGGUCUCCACUAUUCAACUGGUCCUUCUGUGGCUCAGUUGGUAGAGCAUGGCGCUUGUAACGCCAGGGUAGUGGGUUCAAUUCCCGGGACCACCCAUACGUAGAAUGUAUGCACACCUGACUGUAAGUCGCUUUGGAUAAAAGCGUCAGCUAAAUGGCAUAUAUUAUUAUUAUUAUUAUAACUGUAUUUCAUACUGGACAGAGGGAAUAGGGUGAUUAGGGAAAUGAGCAGAUACAGUAUAUGUGUACGUAUGUGUAUAUAUAUAUAUAUAUAUAUAUAUAUACAAAAAAAACAUGAUUUAUUUUUUUAAUUGUAUUUUUAUUAUUAGAAUUAUCAUUAUAUAUGUUUAUUUUUAAUUUUUUAAACCUGUCACAUCUGUGAAUGUGGAAUGUGUUUUGUUGGUUCAUUGAAAAACAAUAAAACGUUAAAUUGAAGAAGAAAACAACAACAUUGAUGUGUUGUGUUCUAGUCCACUGUCUCUACUUCAGACUGGUGGGGACUCUGAGGAAUAAACGUUUACGAACAGUGAGCACUGUUAUAUUAUCUGCAGACGAUGAUGGAUAGUUGUACCAGCCUGUAUAUGAACAGUGUUCUAUUAUCUUCUACAGCUGAUAGGUGGAGAGUUGUACCAGCCUGUAUAUGAACAG